rnacentral:rRNA from 1 species
UAAGGAAUAUUGCUCAAUGGGAGAAAUCCUGAAGCAGCAACGCCGCGUGGAGGAUGAAGGGUCUAUGACUUGUAAACUCCUGUAAAGAAGGAAAAAAUUCCCAUUAGAUGGGAGAUGAUGGUACUUCUGGAGUAAGCCCCGGCUAACUACGUGCCAGCAGCCGCGGUAAUACGUAGGGGGCAAGCGUUGUCCGGAUUUACUGGGUGUAAAGGGUGCUCAGGCGGAUUUGUAAGUCAGAGGUGAAAUCUUACAGCUUAACUGUGAAACUGCCUUUGAUACUGCAAGCCUAGAGUAUGGAAGAGACUGAUGGAAUAUCUGGUGUAGCAGUGAAAUGCGUAGAUAUCAGAUAGAACACCAAUGGCGAAGGCAGUCACUUGGUCCAUUACUGACGCUAAAGCACGAAAGCGUGGGUAGCAAAC